rnacentral:rRNA from 1 species
GUUGUAUAGUCAAGUAAUUAAGUGCAUGUGGUGGAUGCCUUGGCAGUCAGAGGCGAUGAAAGACGUGAUAGCCUGCGAAAAGCUCCGGGGAGGCGGCAAAUAUCCUUUGAUCCGGAGAUGUCUGAAUGGGGGAACCCACCUACUUUAAGGUAGGUAUUGCAACAUGAAUACAUAGUGUUGCAAGGCGAACGAGGGGAAGUGAAACAUCUCAGUACCCUUAGGAAAAGAAAUCAAUUGAGAUUCCCUCAGUAGCGGCGAGCGAACGGGGAUCAGCCCAUUAAGUUAUGUGUGUUUUAGUGGAACGCUCUGGGAAGUGCGAACGUAGAGGGUGAUAUUCCCGUACACGAAAGGGCACACAUAAUGAUGACGAGUAGGGCGAGGCACGUGAAACCUUGUCUGAAUAUGGGGGGACCAUCCUCCAAGGCUAAAUACUCCUGACUGACCGAUAGUGAACCAGUACCGUGAGGGAAAGGCGAAAAGAACCCCUGUGAGGGGAGUGAAAUAGAUCCUGAAACCGCAUGCAUACAAGCAGUGGGAGCACCUUCGUGGUGUGACUGCGUACCUUUUGUAUAAUGGGUCAGCGACUUAUAUUCAGUAGCGAGGUUAACCGUAUAGGGGAGCCGUAGAGAAAUCGAGUCUUAAUAGGGCGUUUAGUUGCUGGGUAUAGACCCGAAACCAGGCGAUCUAUCCAUGAGCAGGUUGAAGGUUGGGUAACACUAACUGGAGGACCGAACCCACUGUCGUUGAAAAGCCAGGGGAUGACUUGUGGAUAGGGGUGAAAGGCUAAUCAAGCCUGGUGAUAGCUGGUUCUCCCCGAAAGCUAUUUAGGUAGCGCCUCGGACGAAUACCAUAGGGGGUAGAGCACUGUUUCGGCUAGGGGGUCAUCCCGACUUACCAAACCGAUGCAAACUCCGAAUACCUAUGAGUACUAUCCGGGAGACAGACUGCGGGUGCUAACGUCCGUAGUCAAGAGGAAAACAAUCCAGACCGCCAGCUAAGGCCCCAAAAUCAUAGUUAAGUGGGAAACGAUGUGGGAAGGCAUAGACAGCUAGGAGGUUGGCUUAGAAGCAGCCACCCUUUAAAGAAAGCGUAAUAGCUCACUAGUCGAGUCGGCCUGCGCGGAAGAUGUAACGGGGCUAAAACUAUGUGCCGAAGCUGCGNNNNNNNNNNNNNNNNNNNNNNNAUGCUGGAGGUAUCAGAAGUGCGAAUGCUGACGUGAGUAACGACAAAACGGGUGAAAAACCCGUUCGCCGAAAGACCAAGGGUUCCAGUCCAACGUUAAUCGGGGCUGGGUGAGUCGACCCCUAAGGCGAGGCCGAAAGGCGUAGUCGAUGGGAAAAUGGUUAAUAUUCCAUUACUUCUGUGUAAUGCGAUGAGAGGACGGAGAAGGCUAAAUCAGCCUGGCGUUGGUUGUCCAGGUGAAAGGAUGUAGGCAUGUAUCUUAGGCAAAUCCGGGGUACUCUAUGCUGAGAUCUGAUAGCAAGCUGUACUUGUACAGCGAAGUGGUUGAUGCCAUGCUUCCAGGAAAAGUCUCUAAGCUUCAGUUACACAGGAAUCGUACCCGAAACCGACACAGGUGGUCAGGUCGAGUAGACCAAGGCGCUUGAGAGAACUCUGCUGAAGGAACUAGGCAAAAUGGUACCGUAACUUCGGGAGAAGGUACGCUGUUGUUGGUGAUGGAACUCGCUUCCUGAGCUGACGACAGCCGCAGAAACCAGGCCGCUGCAACUGUUUAUUAAAAACAUAGCACUCUGCAAACACGAAAGUGGACGUAUAGGGUGUGAUGCCUGCCCGGUGCUGGAAGGUUAAUUGAUGGGGUUAGCGUAAGCGAAGCUCUUGAUCGAAGCCCCAGUAAACGGCGGCCGUAACUAUAACGGUCCUAAGGUAGCGAAAUUCCUUGUCGGGUAAGUUCCGACCUGCACGAAUGGCAUAAUGAUGGCGGCGCUGUCUCCAGCAGAGGCUCAGUGAAAUCGAAAUCGCUGUGAAGAUGCAGUGUACCCGCGGCUAGACGGAAAGACCCCGUGAACCUUUACUGCAGCUUGACACUGAACUUUGACCUUACUUGUGUAGGAUAGGUGGGAGGCUUUGAAGCUGGAACGCUAGUUCCAGUGGAGCCGUCCUUGAAAUACCACCCUGGUAAUGUUGAGGUUCUAACUCUGUCCCGUGAUCCGGGACGAGGACCGUGUCUGGUGGGUAGUUUGACUGGGGCGGUCUCCUCCUAAAGAGUAACGGAGGAGUACGAAGGUGCGCUCAGCGUGGUCGGAAAUCACGCGUAGAGUAUAAAGGCAAAAGCGCGCUUAACUGCGAGACCCACAAGUCGAGCAGGUACGAAAGUAGGUCUUAGUGAUCCGGUGGUUCUGUAUGGAAGGGCCAUCGCUCAACGGAUAAAAGGUACUCUGGGGAUAACAGGCUGAUACCGCCCAAGAGUUCAUAUCGACGGCGGUGUUUGGCACCUCGAUGUCGGCUCAUCUCAUCCUGGGGCUGAAGCAGGUCCCAAGGGUAUGGCUGUUCGCCAUUUAAAGAGGUACGCGAGCUGGGUUUAGAACGUCGUGAGACAGUUCGGUCCCUAUCUACCGUGGGCGCUGGAAAUUUGAGAGGAUCUGCUCCUAGUACGAGAGGACCAGAGUGGACGAACCUCUGGUGUACCGGUUGUGACGCCAGUCGCAUCGCCGGGUAGCUAUGUUCGGAAGGGAUAACCGCUGAAAGCAUCUAAGCGGGAAGCCUACCUCAAGAUAAGAUUUCCCUAGGACUUUAUGUCCUCUAAAGAGCCGUUCGAGACUAGGACGUUGAUAGGUUGGAUGUGGAAGCAUAGUGAUAUGUGAAGCUGACCAAUACUAAUUGCUCGUGAGGCUUGACUAUACAACACCCAAGCAGUUG